CAGUAGCCGCGGGAAAACGAAGGGGGCUAGCGUUGUUCGGAAUUACUGGGCGUAAAGGGCGCGUAGGCGGCCAUUCAAGUUAGAUGUGAAAGCCCUGGGCUCAACCUAGGAAUUGCAUUUGAUACUGUUUGGCUUGAGUUCGGGAGAGGUGAGUGGAAUUCCCAGUGUAGAGGUGAAAUUCGUAGAUAUUGGGAAGAACACCAGUGGCGAAGGCGGCUCACUGGACCGACACUGACGCUGAGGCGCGAAAGCGUGGGGAGCAAACAGGAUUAGAUACCCCAGGUCCCUGUCUCUUAUACAC
rnacentral:rRNA from 1 species